UACAGAGGUCCCGAGCGUUGUUCGGAUUCAUUGGGCGUAAAGGGUGCGUAGGCGGCGGGGCAAGUCUGAUGUGAAAUCCCGGGGCUCAACCCCGGAACUGCAUUGGAUACUGCCUUGCUCGAGUACUGGAGAGGGAACUGGAAUUUACGGUGUAGCAGUGAAAUGCGUAGAGAUCGUAAGGAAGGCCAGUGGCGAAGGCGAGUUCCUGGACAGUUACUGACGCUGAGGCACGAAAGCUAGGGGAGCGAACGGG
rnacentral:rRNA from 1 species